CCUGCAGGGGUUCACUAUACGACGAAGACCCGGUUCCCGAUGGCACGCUUUGUAGAAUCACAAGAAGAAGAUCCGGUAUGUGCCUGAAUGGAAAGUGUGUCACUACCAGCGAAUUCGUAGCAGCCGUAUCCUUUCCAAGACUUCACACAACC
rnacentral:lncRNA from 1 species